CUGGCGGCCGCGCCUUGCUGCCUCCCUCUUGCAGCUCUCUGACGAUGCAGGGACCGCGGCUGGCGGAGAUUGAGCAACGGGGAAAGGAUUCUUUUCCACAGUCAGUUAGAGGGCCAUUGCUAUACCGGACAUUGUGGCUGACAAAAGAGCUCUUAAUAGACUGGAAGUGUCAAAUCAUCUGGAUAAGUGCCAGCAUUCUUCAAGUCACUUUCUUGGUAUGAAAUGAACAUUUCUGGCCAGGUGCAGUGGCUCAUGCCUGUAAUCCCAGCACUUCACGAGGCCG